rnacentral:rRNA from 1 species
AUUGCCUCAGUAACGGCGAGUGAAGCGGCAAAAGCUCAAAUUUGGAAUCGCAUGUAUUUGCGAGUUGUAAUUUGAAGACAUAUUCUGAGGUAAGCACAUGUCGAAGUUCCUUGGAACAGGACGUCACAGAGGGUGAGAAUCCCGUGCGAUGUGUUCACUGCCUUGUGUAGAAUAUAGUCGAAGAGUCGAGUUGUUUGGGAAUGCAGCUCUAAGUGGGUGGUAAAUUCCAUCUAAAGCUAAAUAUUGGCGAGAGACCGAUAGCGAACAAGUACAGUGAUGGAAAGAUGAAAAGAACUUUGAAAAGAGAGUGAAAAAGUACGUGAAAUUGUUGAAAGGGAAGGGCUUGAGAUCAGACUCGGGUAACCGGGCCAGCAUGGGGUGGGGGAGUAGGAUAACCCUGCAGGAAUGUGGCUCUGCUUCGGUGGAGUGUUAUAGCCUGUAGAUAUACUGCUACCCUCGCCCGAGGACUGCGGAAACAAGGAUGCUGGCAUAAUGAUCUUAAGCCGCCCGUCUUGAAACACGGACCAAGGAGUCUAACGUCUAUGCGAGUGUUUGGGUGUAAAACCCGUACGCGGAAUGAAAGUGAACGUAGGUGGGAGCUUUAUUGCGCACCAUCGACCGAUCCUGAUGUCUUCGGAUGGAUUUGAGUAAGAGCAUAGCUGUUGGGACCCGAAAGAUGGUGAACUAUGCCUGAAUAGGGUGAAGCCAGAGGAAACUCUGGUGGAGGCUCGUAGCGGUUCUGACGUGCAAAUCGAUCGUCGAAUUUGGGUAUAGGGGGCGAAAGACUAAUCGAACCAUCUAGUAGCUGGUUCCUGCCGAAGU